AUGCAACGAUUGAAACGAAUCAAACCAAGACUAUGUUUUGGGGAAGUUACAGACUACCACAACAAGUCCGUGGAAGUGCAAUCAAGCCGUACACAAGGUUCUCUUGGGUAUCCUUGGAGCACCAUUCAUGACCAAUGCAACCGAUGGUCCGAUUGCAUCAAUCAAGUGAAUCAUGCACCACCAAGUGGUGUGCAAGUGGCGGAGUAUGGCCCCUACAUCAAAGAACUAUUCAAGCAUAGGAACACAAGUUCGGCCACAAGCCCUUCAUGUUGCUCAUUGCUACAAAGAGCUAUGCAAGAACGAGAAGUGGAUCCAAAGAUUUCCGGAGACCACUCCAAAGAGACAAGGUUGAGCAUAUCCGUUGAGGAGGACAACGAGGUUGAUGAAGAGGCCAACAAUAUAUAG
rnacentral:rRNA from 1 species